rnacentral:rRNA from 1 species
GCCAUUUACCCAAAGAGGGUGCCAGGCCCGUAUAACGUUAAUGAUUACUAGAAGAUGUUUCCAAAGAGUCGUGUUGCUUGAUAGUGCAGCACUAAGUGGGUGGUAAACUCCAUCUAAAACUAAAUAUAACCAUGAGACCGAUAGUAAACAAGUACCGUGAGGGAAAGUUGAAAAGAACUCUGAAUAGAGAGUUAAAUAGUACGUGAAACUGCUUAGAGGUUAAGCCCGAUGAACCUGAAUAUCCAUUAUAGAAAAUUCAUCAUUAUGCCUAUAAUAUUUUUAUAUUGUGGUAAUAGUGUGCAUUUUUUCUAUAUAAGGACAUUGUAAUCUAUUAACAUAUUAUAUAUUUAUCAAAAGGUUAUUUGCUUAUGUUUAUUCAAAUUAAUUUGCUUGCAAGUUAACAUAGAAUAUAAUGCUUAUAAUUUGAUAAAGUGUUGAUAGAUUAAUACUAUAUAGUGCUUAAAUAUAUUUAUAUUUUACAAUAGCAUAAUUAUCUUAUGAUUUUUAUGUUUAUUGUAUGCGCUUAUAUGAUUAACAAUGCGAUAGAUUCAGGAUACCUUCGGGACCCGUCUUGAAACACGGACCAAGGAGUCUAACAUAUGUGCAAGUCAUUGGGAUUAUCAAUAUAAACCCAAAGGCAUAAUUAACUUAACUUAUUAAUUGGGAUUAGUUUUUAGUCUUAUAUGUCUAUUAAUUCAAUCCCGGGGCGUUCUAUACAGUUAUGUAUAAUAAUAUUUAUAUUAUUUAUA